ACCGACAUCAGGGAUUCGUUUUGGGAACCAUUGCCGACCGCCAGGUAAGAGUGCAUGCCCAGCUCGCGCAUCUGCUGCUCGCCAAUGACACGGGUAAUUACGUUUUUGCUGUACGAGUCUGCCAGCUGACGCGCCUGAGAGGCCAGGUAAGCGGCGUUACAGAUAUUUGGCGGCAUGUUGCCCAGAUCUUUCGC
rnacentral:antisense_RNA from 1 species